AUUCAGCUGACGAGUCUCAAAUAGGAUGAAACACUUAUCCUGAAU
rnacentral:hammerhead_ribozyme from 1 species